UACGUAGGGACCAAGCGUUGUCCGGAUUUAUUGGGCGUAAAGAGCCCGUAGGCGGCCCUCCACGUCGGAUGUGAAAGCUCAGGGCUCAACCCUGGGAUGCCAUUCGAUACGGGAAGGCUAGAGGUAGGUAGGGGAAAGUGGAAUUCCUGGUGUAGCGGUGAAAUGCGCAGAUAUCAGGAGGAACACCGGUGGCGAAGGCGACGUCCUGGACCGGCAUUGACGCUGAGGCGCGAAAGCCAGGGGAGCAAACGGG
rnacentral:rRNA from 1 species